CACCGGCGGCUCGAGUGGUAACCGCUAUUAUUUGGUCUAAAGGGUCUGUAGCCGGCUUAGUUAGUCCCUUGAGAAAUCUGGCCGCUCAACGGUCAGGCGUUCAGGGGAUACUGCUAAAGCUCGAGACCGGGAGAGGUGAGAGGUACUUCAGGGGUAGGGGUGAAAUCUUGUAAUCCCUGGAGGACCACCAGUGGCGAAGGCGUCUUACCAGAACGGAUCUGACGGCAAGGGACGAAAGCUAGGGG
rnacentral:rRNA from 1 species